CCAGCUGCCCCUUUUCUUCCAGAGAGAGGGCGUGAGCCCGCCUAGGCAGGAGCCUGGGCUUCGUGGAACUGAACUCAGCUCCGCGGGGCUGCCCGCUCGGGCCCAGGGUGGUACGUAAC
rfam:Erinaceus europaeus unplaced genomic scaffold scaffold00090, whole genome shotgun sequence